UUUCGCUUCUAUUCUAUACAUUAACCAAACAUAUCUGUAAUCAGUUCUUUUCUUUUCAUAAUUUUCCUUCAAUUUCUCGAGAAAAUUUCUAAUCCUAAUCUACUUAUCUUUAUUAAACGCCGAUGGCCACGGGCCGAACCUCCGUCCCUCCCGAUUCGGACGAUGAAAUUGGCGCAAUUAACAACACCAUUACAAGACUUCUCAGUUUUCAUUGCAUCCGUGACCGUUUACGCUUCAAGAGAAACCCUAACUACAGUCAGAUGAAGGGCCAGAUAAAGCCGGCUUUCCACCGCUAUUGGCUCCACCAUUUGUUGCGGAAGAUCAUACAGUCAGAUGAAGGGCCAGACCGUUUACACUCUUUUUUGUUGGUUAAUAAGACUUGCUGGCUAUUUUGUUUUCGUUGGCUAUUUUGAAUUGGAAAAAUACUUCGAUGCAUUACGUUUUAAUACAAAUUAUCAAUUUGGAAGCAAAUCGAUGAUUCUCUUGGUGAAGUUUAAAAAAAAUGUGCACCCGUUGGUAUCAACAUAAAUGCGAUUUAGGGUGGUAGGAUGAGAAAGGAUUCUCUGAUGUUAUUUUGUAGGUUGAGAAUGCACACCUAUAUUCGAAUUUGACAUACGCUUGAUGCAUAGAUUACCAUCAAAGAACUUUUUUGAGAGUGAAUUUUCAUGCUUAGGCGAUUUCUUGGUUUGGUGAAAGCUUCAUCAAAUGAUAGUCUUUUUCUAUAUAGCAUCACAGCUCGUGGUGAUAUACUGUAGGAAAUGCUUAAAAAAUGAUGAGUUUCAUGCAUGUACUUGACGGGGUUGAACUGCGUCCACCAGUUUCUGAUGUUUCAUGCAAUGGUCUUGCUGCCAGGCUUGAAAAGUGCAGGAUGUUAAUUGAAAUUGCUGGAAAUUACUUAGAUGAAGGGGCAAAUCCUUUCCAUGUAGUUGAGGCGUGCAAUGAAGUUUUGGAAGGGCAUGGUAGUGAAAUUGGAUCCAUGAUGAGGCAUGAGCGUCUUUGCACACUUGCUGCCUUAUUGCUUAGGAUUGUUAUAGUUGGAGAUGAUUGUGCAUUGCCUCCACCUCAAGGCAUAGCUGGAUGAAGAGGUUUGGCAGGCCCUAUUCUUGUUCACAAGGUUGCUGGAGCUAGCUGCUGCUGCUGCUGCUGGCCUUUUCCUUUCUUAAGUUACUCUGUUACUGCUGAAGCAAAACGUGCAUCUGAAAUGGUUGGGACAAUGGGUGUUGCCUUAUCUGUUUUUACACUGCCUGGGCAGGUUUCAACAUAUCGUCUGGGUUCUGGAAAAAUGGAACUUGGUCUUGAGAUUAAUUUGUCAGGUUUUAUCUUGAGUUGAUUGCUUCUGAUGCUGUGCACAUUAAAGUGGUCAAGUAUUCUUGUGGAUCUUUUACAGGGCCACUGCUUACAGUUAGUUCCUAGACAUGUAAAAAUUUGCUUCCUUGUUGACAAAAUUAAAUUGAACUAAGAUAAGUUUCUUUUCGGCAUUGUGAACCUGGUGCUGCUGUUGUGGACCUUCAACUUGUAGAUGCAGUUGUCUCUCAUGUGCUUAAGUGGAUAUUGUCAAGGCAUAGGUGCCACUCUAUGGUACUGAUGAUUGUAGCAGGCAAAGCAGUCCCUAACUUGCCAUUGGAGCAUGGAUUGGCUGUCAAUAGAGUGUACACAGGAUUUGCUAUUUUUUGUUGUCUUUUCACUUUGUUGAAAAGAUGUUUCAUAUGAAUUGUUGGACUUCAAGAAUUAAUGUAAUUAUUAAUUUUCAUUUAAUA